GGGUACUUACAUUAGUCACUUCUGGUUCUUGAACCUGUGGAGUUACACCCGUUAUUAUUAACUAUUGAUGUAAUAUUGUUAUUUCUAUGCUACAGUAGUACAAAUACUGUGUCAGAAUCACCAUACUUUUUUUAUUAGAGUUUUUUUUAUGACACAAGGGGGAUUCCCUACUGUUGUUUUAUUAGGGUUGGUCAAAAAAAAUAAGACAUCUGGAUUUACCAUUUUACUUUCAACUACUCUUCUCUAAAAGCAAGCAAGCAUCGAGAAAUAAGUUAGAUAAUAAUGUGAGGGGUAAGAUUAGAAAUUAAAAGUCAUGUAAAAGUUGCAAGUUUUAAACAAUAAAUAUUUUAAAUAUUGUAAAGAAGUCAAAAACAGUCUUUAUUUUUAACCAAAUUAGGGAGUAGAGAAUUCACCUAACUAUACAUGUAUUGAAUAUAGUCUUGUUCCUUAUCAUACUAAUCCAAGAAAAUUGUAAAACCGUUAUGUUCUCAACAUUAACUCUAUGCUAGAGCAGUACGAAUACACGAAUACAUGUUAGAAUUGGAAUGUUUUAUUCCCAUUUACAAACACGUGAAAAAAAUACCUUAUAAGAUGGAAUGGCAUUUCGGAGCAGCAGAACUCACACGGAAGUUGAAUAACAUUUUCAAGCCUUGCAAAGCCACACUCACACCACACUCACUCACACCAGAACGCACAUACAUAGAACGCACACCACACUCACACCAGACGCACACACAUGUGAGCAUUCAUACACACGUUAGAGAAGAGAUUGAAGAGGCUACAGCCCUCAUUGCAUGGGAAACAGGCAGGACCACUAAAUGCGCACACGUGCGUGUACCUACAAUAAUCCAGUAAUAAAACAUAGAAAAAUCGUUUCUACUGGGGUUUUCGAACCCAUGACCUCCUGCUGGAGGCUCCGCUACAGAUCUAUAAUCCACUCGAUAACAAGGGCAGAAGCUCCUAAGAAGCCACCCGUCGCAUCACGCAUCACCAGAUUGGACCCUUAAUGAUAUACAGAUGUAUGACGUGCUUGCAAAUCUCACAC
rnacentral:lncRNA from 1 species